rnacentral:rRNA from 1 species
AAAAUUUCAUUCGCACUAGCGAUACUAGUUUCCCCGGAAAGAUAUAAAAGUAUCGAGGAAAAGCUUGAUUUAUAAUAUUAAUCAUUAUAUAUACACAUACUUUUUCAUUAACUUUUUUGAGGAUAAGCUCAGAAAAAAAUUAAGAUGUUUUUCAUAAAAAUUACCGUGUGGGCUUAAGAUUGGCCACCAUAAAAGUUUGUUAUAGGAUAGUAACCCUAAUUUAAAAAAAUAAAUAUAUUUUAAUCUAAAUUCUUACGGGGAUAAGAACUCUAACUAAAAUUGAGCUCUAUGCCUAUGCUAGAAUGAGUAUUAAAACCUAACUUACAAAAGAAAUACUGUUUUCUCCAAAAAAGUUUUUAAAAAAAUUAAUUAAUUAGAAGGAAUUCGGCAAGUUUAGUUCUCCGCCUGUUUAUCAAAAACAUGGCUCUUUGCUUAUAUAAAUAUAAAGAGUCGAGCCUGCCC